UGGGGAAUAUUGGACAAUGGGGGCAACCCUGAUCCAGCGAUGCCGCGUGAGUGAAGAAGGCCCUCGGGUCGUAAAGCUCUUUAGGCUGGGAAGAAGGUUAUCUGGGGAUAAUCCAAAUAACUUGACGGUACCAGCAGAAUAAGCACCGGCAAACUCUGUGCCAGCAGCCGCGGUAAUACAGAGGGUGCGAGCGUUAAUCGGAUUUACUGGGCGUAAAGGGCGCGUAGGCGGAUAUAUGAGUGUGAUGUGAAAGCCCCGGGCUUAACCUGGGAAGUGCAUCGCAAACGAUAUAUCUGGAGUAGAUGAGAGGGUGGCGGAAUUUCCGGUGUAGCGGUGAAAUGCGUAGAGAUCGGAAGGAACGUCGAUGGCGAAGGCAGCCACCUGGCAUCAUACUGACGCU
rnacentral:rRNA from 1 species